rnacentral:rRNA from 1 species
UACGUAGGGGGCAAGCGUUGUCCGGAUUUAUAGGGCGUAAAGAGCGUGUAGGCGGCCAGACAGGUCCGUUGUGAAAACUCGAGGCUCAACCUCGAGACGCCGAUGGAAACCGUCUGGCUAGAGUCCGGAAGAGGAGAGUGGAAUUCCUGGUGUAGCGGUGAAAUGCGUAGAUAUCUGGAGGAACACCGGUGGCGAAGGCGGCAUCCUGGACCGACAUUGACGCUGAGGAGCGAAAGCUAGGGGAGCAAACGGG